UACGGGGGGAGCAAGCGUUGUUCGGAUUUACUGGGCGUAAAGGGCGCGUAGGCGGUCGUGACAAGUCACUUGUGAAAUCUCCGGGCUUAACUCGGAACGGUCAAGUGAUACUGUCGGACUAGAGUACAGAAGGGGCAACUGGAAUUCUUGGUGUAGCGGUGAAAUGCGUAGAUAUCAAGAGGAACACCUGAGGUGAAGACGGGUUGCUGGGCUGACACUGACGCUGAGGCGCGAAAGCCAGGGGAGCAAACGGG
rnacentral:rRNA from 1 species